UACGGGGGGAGCAAGCGUUGUUCGGAUUUACUGGGCGUAAAGGGCGCGUAGGCGGCCUUCUAAGUCGAACGUGAAAUCCCUGGGCUUAACCCAGGAACUGCGUCCGAUACUGGGAGGCUUGAAUUCGGGAGAGGGAUGCGGAAUUCCAGGUGUAGCGGUGAAAUGCGUAGAUAUCUGGAGGAACACCGGUGGCGAAGGCGGCAUCCUGGACCGAGAUUGACGCUGAGGCGCGAAAGCCAGGGGAGCAAACGGG
rnacentral:rRNA from 1 species